rnacentral:rRNA from 1 species
AACCUCCGCAAUGUGAGAAAUCGCGACGGGGGGAUCCCAAGUGCCAUUCUUAACGGGAUGGCUUUUCAUUAGUGUAAAGAGCUUUUGGAAUAGGGGCUGGGCAAGACCGGUGCCAGCCGCCGCGGUAACACCGGCAGCUCUAGUGGUAGCAGUUUUUAUUGGGCCUAAAGCGUCCGUAGCCGGUUUAAUAAGUCUCUGGUGAAAUCCUGUAGCUUAACUGUGGGAAUUGCUGGAGAUACUAUUAGACUUGAGACCGGGAGAGGUUAGAGGUACUCCCAGGGUAGAGGUGAAAUUCUGUAAUCCUGGGAGGACCGCCUGUUGCGAAGGCGUCUAACUGGAACGGUUCUGACGGUGAGGGACGAAAGUUAGGGGCGCGAACCGGAUUAGAUACCCGGGUAGUCCUGACUGUAAACGAUGCGGACUUGGUGUUGGGGUGGCUUUGAGCUGCUCCAGUGCCGAAGGGAAGCUGUUAAGUCCGCCGCCUGGGAAGUACGGUCGCAAGACUGAAACUUAAAGGAAUU